AUGGAAAUGUCUGUUAUCAGGGCCUUUAGGGUGUCCUGUGAUGGUGGGAAGGGGAUGCUAGAACGGGGCCAGGAACAGCAGGAGGUUUGAGGCUGCAUUGGAGAAGGACAGAGCUGGGCUCUUGAAUCCUAAGGCUUUCAUCUCAGGCAUGAAUCUGGUGACAUCAGGACAUUCUCCAGAGCCCAUUGGUACAGGCAGAUUAGGGCAGGUUUGAGAGAUUCUAGAAUCAGGUAGAUAGUACAGUUUGGCAAGUCUAGAUAAUUGAGCUUAGAAAUCAAGCAAUCCAGCCCCUCACUUUACAGUUAAGGAAAUGGAGGUUCAGAGAGAUUCUGAGCUCUUCCCCAUCUUACAUCUGGAAGAGGCCAGGCCAGGGCUCAGAUCCAGGGCCUUUCAUGAAGCAGCCAGGGCCACAUGCCUGGAUCACAGCUGGAAAGCUAUGCCCUAGCAGGGCUGCUGUUUGCAGCUGUUCAGGCCUUGCCUUGCUUUUUAUAGACUGAAGUAUGAGCAACACUGCCUGGGGGUGUGCAGUGCACACACUGCACCACUGUCCGGGGAGGCUCUGAGUCAGAUCAAGGCAAAGGCCUGAGAGCUCCCAUCAGAGAGGUCCCAUCUCUUGGGCUGGGCUGGGUAUGUGGUGAAAAUGGAGGCAGGAGGGUGACUCGGAACCUGGACAGCAGUGAUGGGUCCCCAUCCAUGAACACUGGAAUUUAGGGUGGAAGACUGGCAUUUGGAAAGGCAGGCUGACUUCGCUGGACUGACAGCUGGACAGAGAGCUGGCUCGGCCUUCCUUGGUGUGGGAACCGCCUGGGAGACUCAGCAUAAAGGAGCAGAGGCAGAUCGCUCCUGCAGGCAUGUGGUUCCCAAAACAGAAAAGGAGACAGAGUUCCUUUUAAGUAUGGCAACACUUAUAUGGCAGCUAGGACAAGAGAAACUCGAAGUAUUGAACAAAAUGGAAUGGACUCGCGCAGCCUUGAAGCAGUCUAUUGCGCAGCCAAUGGACUCCAGAUCAUCAAUAACACUCAGGGAUUGGAAGCCUGCAUUUGCACAGGUAUUGGAGGUUCCCUCGGCUCCGCAGGUGGCCAGAUGCUUCACCCUCCACUCCACUGAGGGGGACAAGGCCCCAGAAGCCAACACCCUAGGAGGAGGCAGAGAACCACGAUGUCCUAAGUGCCUUGGUACCAGGCAUUCUUUACGUGUCAUCUCGUGAUCUCACUGGCAUCCUCUGCUGACCCUGUGAUGUAAGGAUUAUUAUACCCAUUCUGCAAAUGAGCAAACUGAGGCCCAGAAAGGUGAAAUAAGUUGCUCAAGGACAAAGUGUCCAGUGGCAGAACUUAGACACACACAGGUGUGGCUCCAAAGCCCAUGAGCUGCCCAUUGUGGCUGCCGCUUUUUCACUCUUUCCUGCCUUUGACAUUCUCUGUCUCGUCCUCUGAUUCAGAGGAAGCUGCAGGGACCCUGAAAGUUAGUGUCCAGGUUGUGCACUGCACAAAUCCAGGGGCUUUAUCUGAAUCAUGAUAGUGCCCUCAUUUCCACUGCUAAUCCUUCCACCUCUGCCCUUCACUCCAGCCCUCCUGCGGGGCCUGGCUGCAUCCUCUGCUCUCUCUCUCCCAGCUGCAGAAUCAGUCUCCUUAAUUCCUUCCAGUCUUAAAGACAUUUUUAAUCCUUUCCUCUUAACAAAUUCAAUUCCUCAAUCUUCCUGUUUUCUUUCACUAAAAAAAAGGACUUCUGCAAAGAAAAGUUGGCAUUCCUCUUCUUGGUCUCCUAUUCUUAACUCUUUGAAAUCUGCCCUUGGUUUUCACCCCUGUAGAAACUCUCUCUCUUCGUUUCUGAGCGAGAACAGCAGUGGUCCAGGUGAGUCACAGUGCUACUUCUCCUUAAAUUCUUGCAUCCUUGGCCUAUUGCAGGCACCUCUUUUUUGGGGCAAGAGAGAGAAGAAAGGAGCCCUUGGGGUCCCUCCCCAUUUCUCUCUCAGGCACACUCUCUUAAGUGUCUCCUUGCCCUGCUGGAAUAGAUUUCUCUGGCAAUUGUUCUAUGUCCUAAGCUGCAGCAGAGGCACACAUGAGGCUCCCAGCCCUUUACUUCUCCAGUCUUCAGGGAGGGGGAUAGCAGCCCAGCUCUCACCUCCAUCAGGAGAAAGCGUGGGAGCAGCAGCCAUCCAUCAAGAACCAACUCCCCAGGAGGCCCAUCCUCCUCCUCACUUACCAGUCAGCUUAUUGUGGUUGAUUGCGUUGGACUUCUCUAGAAGUUUGGUUGUCAGGCUCCAAGUGUCAGCAGCCCACUUUAGGAUGCGGACUCUUUGGAAAGUCCUGUUUUCAGCUGUGCGGUGUCUAUUCCUGGGGAACAGGACACAUUUCACUCAACCAAGGUCAUACUUAUAUGGGAAUCAUUCAUGUAGUUAUUGUAUGAUCUGUUGAUAGCAUCAGCUGCUUGAGAGAGUAAGCUGUGCUAUAGCACACUUAGUCUCUUACAGGUCUCCUACAAUGCUAUCUUGCAUGAAAAAAUGCAUGGUAAGUGCCAAGGGAAGGCGGCAUGGAUCCCAGCGGAUCAGAUCCACUCUGGAUUACGUUGGCUUCAGUUUUGACUCGCUGCAUAUGUAAUGUAAUGGUAAUGGCAAGAAAAAUGAUGAUGAGCACCAGGAAGCUGAAUCUCUGAAAGGUAUCAGGCAAAGGUUUUAUUAACAUCAUUAUUAUUGUUAUUAUUAAGCUUUUUAUCUCGGGAUGAUUGUGGAUUUACAUGCAGUUGAAAGAAAUAUCCUACUGUGGUAACAUGCCUCAAAGCUCUACUAUGCUUUUUUUUUCUUUUUUUUUCUGAGACAGAGUCUCUCUGUUGCCCAGGCUGGAGUGCAUUGGCAUGAUUUUGGCUCACUGCAACCACCACCUCCCGGGUUCAAACAAUUCUCCUGCCUCAGCCUCUUGAGUAGCUGGGAUUACAGGAACGUGCCACCAUGGCUGGCUAAUUUUUGCAUUUUUAGUAGAGACAGGGUUUUGCCAUAUUGGCCAGGCUAGUCUCAAACUCCUGACCUCAUGAUCUGCCCGCCUCAGCCUCCCAAAGUGCUGGGAUUACAAGCAUGAGCCACUGUGCCUGGCCUCUACUAUCAUAUUUUGAUCAGGAUAUUAACAAUUCUAUGUCAUGAUCCAGAACAUUUGGUCACCACAAAGAACCCUCCUGUUGUCUUUUUAGAGCCUCGUCCGAUCCUUCCCUCUCCCACCUAAUUCCUAACCCCUGGCAAGCACUACUCUGUUUUAUUUUUAUCAUUUCAUCACUCUAGGAAUGUUGUAUAAAGGGAACCAUAUAGUACAACUUUUUACAUGUGGCUUUUCUCACUCAGUAUAAUUCUCUGGAGAUUCGUGCAGGCUUUAUGGGUAACUGUGGUACCUUCUUUUUCAUUGCUGAGUAGUAUUCCAUGAUGGAGGCACUGAGUGUGUUUAGCCAUUCACGCAUCGAAGGACAUCAGUUGUUUCCAGCAACUAUUACUAAUAAAGUUGCUAUGAACAUUAGCGUACAGGUCUGAGUGUGUGUGUGAACAUAAAUCUUCAUUUCCCUGAGAUAUAGGCAAAAGGAUUUUCACCUUCAGUGCAGCCGUUGGGGAGAGAGAUGUCUUAUAGUGCCUGAAAACCAAGAAAAAUAACUUCUGAGAAAAAGAAGAAAGAACAGGAAGAACCAAAUAACGUGUCAACCUCCUCAUGUUGUGAUGGUGCAGAAAAAAACCCACAAAAACCAUAUUGCUGAGUUCAUUUGUAUUUCACAGUCUACAUCUCAGUAUUCUCUUCAUCUAUGCAGACACAAAUGGGAAUAAAAAUAGUUAGAGAAGC